CUGACCCUCUGGUUGGUGAAUCUUGUUGGGGCCUCCAAAUGUUACACCUGAAGCAAGUGGAAUAGAGAAACGCCAGCACAUCAAGUCCAAAUUAA
rnacentral:miRNA from 1 species